AUAUCUCUCUGUACGGGAAGGAUGAGAAGCUUCGACUAAGGUUCGAUUCGAGCGCAGCGAGAAAGCGUU
rnacentral:sRNA from 5 species